UACGGAGGGGGCUAGCGUUGUUCGGAAUUACUGGGCGUAAAGCGCACGUAGGCGGCUUUGCAAGUUAGAGGUGAAAGCCCGGGGCUCAACUCCGGAAUUGCCUUUAAAACUGCAUCGCUAGAAUUUGUGGAGAGGUAAGUGGAAUUCCGAGUGUAGAGGUGAAAUUCGUAGAUAUUCGGAAGAACACCAGUGGCGAAGGCGGCUCACUGGCCCGAUACUGACGCUGAGGCACGAAAGCGUGGGGAGCAAACAGG
rnacentral:rRNA from 1 species